AGAUCGAACUGAAGAGUUUGAUCCUGGCUCAGAUUGAACGCUGGCGGCAUGCCUUACACAUGCAAGUCGAACGGCAGCACGGGAGCAAUCCUGGUGGCGAGUGGCGAACGGGUGAGUAAUACAUCGGAACGUGCCCAGUUGUGGGGGAUAGCCCGGCGAAAGCCGGAUUAAUACCGCAUACGACCUACGGGUGAAAGCGGGGGAUCGCAAGACCUCGCGCAAUUGGAGCGGCCGAUGUCAGAUUAGCUAGUUGGUGGGGUAAAGGCCUACCAAGGCGACGAUCUGUAGCUGGUCUGAGAGGACGACCAGCCACACUGGGACUGAGACACGGCCCAGACUCCUACGGGAGGCAGCAGUGGGGAAUUUUGGACAAUGGGCGCAAGCCUGAUCCAGCCAUGCCGCGUGCGGGAAGAAGGCCUUCGGGUUGUAAACCGCUUUUGUCAGGGAAGAAACGGUCUGGUCUAAUAAACCGGACUAAUGACGGUACCUGAAGAAUAAGCACCGGCUAACUACGUGCCAGCAGCCGCGGUAAUACGUAGGGUGCAAGCGUUAA
rnacentral:rRNA from 1 species